GGGUGGUUGGUGUAGUGGUAACACAGCAGUCUUCGGAACUGUUAUCGGGAGUUCGAUCCUCUCACCGCCUG
rnacentral:tRNA from 1 species